GGUGUGGUGAGUGAAAUGGAGAAGGCUAAACUUUUUCUUCCCACAUGCUCACUUCCUCGCUUGUUCGCUAGCUGCUGCAUCUGGCCCCUCAAGGGUAAAGUCAAGGGGAAAAGGAGAUUGAGAGGAAGGACAGUCUGUGAAUUGGGUCUCACCGUGUUUCCCAGAGUGAAGUACAGUGUUGUGAUAUCAGUUCAUUGCAACUUCUGUCUUCCGAGCUCAAGCAAUCCUCUUGCCUCAGCCUCUCGAGUAGUUGGGACUGACUACAGGCAUGAACCACCACACCUGGCUAAUUUUUUUGUAUUUUGGUCGAAAAGACGGUUUCGCCAUGGUGUACAGAACUACUUCUCAAAUCACUAUUCACAUCCUGGUAGAAGUCAAGCAAUGAAGAUGGCACAGAAACACAUCCCAAAUACUAUGAUACCAUAAAGUAUACUGUAGCAAUGCAUCUGGCACACCCUCAUUUGAACAUCUGUCUCAGAAGAUUUUGACAGAAGAUAAAACUGUCUAGUUUUUAUUUCAUUGGUUUCAUGAAAAUUUAUUUCACUGGUUUCAUGUCACAGGCCCAUGACUGUAUAAAGAGUCAUAAUCUUUACAAACACAACAGUGACUCACAGCGACAUGUUGCAAAGCUGUAAUCGAAAACACUGCUGUUGAUUUCAGAGGCCAUUAAUGGUGUUAAGAAGGCGCUUUUGUUAACCAAAUAAUUGAAUACUCAUAAUUACUUUUCAGUUCUAGUUCAGUUCUUGACACCAAGCCAUUUUCUUUACAUAGUGAAUGCAGAACUUGCCAGUAAGAACUUUCAAUACUAAACUUCUAUGUAAAACAAAACAUGUCAAAAUCAGUAACUACUUUAAUGGAACGGUAAAGAAUUUACUUAAACACAAAGGAAUGAAAAUAUCUCUGCAAAUAUGUCUAUUGACUUUUCAAAUUUGGUGACUUCUUUCGAAUUAAUUCCCUUACGUCUGUUCCUCAUCCACAUAAAAAUGACAAAAAUGAAAGAUAAUUUUCCAGCCUAUAAUUAAAUUUCUCCAUUGUUGGU
rnacentral:antisense_RNA from 1 species